CAUAUGCCAUAGUUGCUUACAUUUCCUGCUCUUUAUUUUUUUCUCAUGUAGACAACCCACUGAACUCCAAUGAGAAUGGCCUCUGUUCUGGUGAACUGAUUGUGAUGACAUUUGGUAUUUAAAGAGAACAAAGGUGUACAAAGAAGCUGGACAACAAGAUUAUGAGUCUGAAUAUCUGCAAAACCAAAUCCAAGCAACCUGGAGGCUAAUUGGCCUGAAGACAUCCCUUUGCUAAAGCCCGAAGGCAGGAGAUGCAGUCAGUUAAGCUCUAAUGGGCAAACCCAGGCAACUGCCCUCCCCUGAUUCCUCACAACUGCCAGAUCCAACAUGCCAGAAGCAAAACAAGUACACCAACUGUAUGCGCACUUCAUUCUCAUCAGCAAUGUCCUGUAUGGAACAGAGGAUGGAGUGAGUGGACGCUUUGCCUCGGCAGGGAGAGAUCAGCAACGAGACUCUGCUGAGCCCAGGACCCUGAGAUCUCACUCUAUUAGGCUGCAAUUCCCACUGCAGUGACUAGCGAUGAUUAUUACCA
rnacentral:lncRNA from 1 species